CAUCGAUCUGUCACCCUCGUUUACCUUUACUUUAGAUAACCACUCGCAGUGAAAAACUGGCUAUGAUCCCACAGGAGAAGAUGCUCCCGAAGACACACACAUGGAAACCUCAUCUAAUCAUCCCAGAUCACAGAAUAGAAGAGAUCUGGGUAAGGAUGAUGAAAGCGGGCCCCUCUAAUGCAAACCGCGCGGGACCGUCCGCUAGCUCACAAGAUUCCACUACAGUGGAUCGGCCGGCUCGUAGGCUCUAUAGACUCACUCUCUUCACAACGAGAGGAGUUUACUACACGUAUGGCCUCCUUUAGCCUUGUCUUAAACGUUGGCUCCGUGGCCCAAAGUGCUCGUCUU
rnacentral:lncRNA from 1 species